GUGGCUGUAGCUCAGUUGGUAGAGCCCUGGAUUGUGAUUCCAGUGGUCGCGGGUUCGAUCCCCGUCAGCCACCCCA
rnacentral:tRNA from 3 species